rnacentral:tRNA from 1 species
GGCUGCGUGGCUUAGUGGUAAGAACCUGGGCUUGGGAGUCAGAGGUCAUGGGUUCUAAUCCCGGCUCUGCCA